GAAUUCACUAGUGAUUAACGAGAAAGCUUCCUUCGGGAAGUAAGUAGAGUGGCGCACGGGUGAGUAACGCGUAGGUAAUCUACCCUUAUGACUGGGAUAACAUUGGGAAACUGGUGCUAAUACCGGAUACACUUCUUUACUGCGGGGUAAAGGAGGAAAGGUGGCCUCUUCAUGAAAGCUACCGUAUAGGGAUGAGCCUGCGUACCAUUAGCUAGUAGGCGGGGUAACGGCCCACCUAGGCAACGAUGGUUAGCGGGUCUGAGAGGAUGAUCCGCCACACUGGAACUGGAACACGGACCAGACUCCUACGGGAGGCAGCAGUGAGGAAUAUUGCGCAAUGGGGGAAACCCUGACGCAGCGACGCCGCGUGAGUGAGGAAGGUUUUCGGAUCGUAAAGCUCUGUCAGAAGGGAAGAAGUGUUAUAUGUUUAAUACGCAUAUAAUUUGACGGUACCUUCAGAGGAAGCACCGGCUAACUCCGUGCCAGCAGCCGCGGUAAUACGGAGGGUGCAAGCGUUGUUCGGAAUUACUGGGCGUAAAGGGCGCGUAGGCGGCUGGAUAAGUCAGAUGUGAAAGUCCAUGGCUCAACUGUGGAAGUGCAUUUGAAACUGUCCGGCUUGAGUAUCGGAGGGGAGUGUGGAAUUCCCGGUGUAGAGGUGAAAUUCGUAGAGAUCGGGAGGAACACCGGUGGCGAAGGCGACACUCUGGACGAAUACUGACGCUGAGGCGCGAAAGCGUGGGGAGCAAACAGGAUUAGAUACCCUGGUAGUCCACGCCGUAAACGAUGUGAACUAGGGAUAGGGGGUGUUGAUCCCUCCUGUCCCGCAGCUAACGCAUUAAGUUCACCGCCUGGGGAGUACGGUCGCAAGAUUAAAACUCAAAGGAAUUGACGGGGGCCCGCACAAGCGGUGGAGUAUGUGGUUUAAUUCGACGCACGCGAAGAACCUUAC
rnacentral:rRNA from 1 species